rnacentral:tRNA from 1 species
GGAGGGUAAGCGAAUUGGUGAGCAGGCUGAUUCGAAAUCAGUUGCCGGUCUCCGGUUGCGGGUUCGAGUCCCGUGCCCUCCG